rnacentral:rRNA from 1 species
UACGAAGGGGGCGAGCGUUGCUCGGAAUCACUGGGCGUAAAGCGCACGUAGGCGGCUUUCUAAGUCAGGUGUGAAAUCCUGGAGCUCAACUCCAGAACUGCCUUUGAUACUGGAGAGCUUGAGUCCGGAAGAGGUGAGUGGAACUCCGAGUGUAGAGGUGAAAUGCGUAGAUAUUCGGAAGAACACCAGUGGCGAAGGCAGCUCACUGGUCCGGUACUGACGCUGAGGUGCGAAAGCGUGGGGAGCAAACAGG